rnacentral:rRNA from 1 species
GACGAACGCUGGCGGCGUGCUUAACACAUGCAAGUCGAACGGAAAGGCCCCUUUGGGGGUACUUGAGUGGCGAACGGGUGAGUAACACGUGAGUAACCUGCCCUUGACUUCGGGAUAACUUCAGGAAACUGGGGCUAAUACCGGAUAGGAAUCCUUGCUGCAUGGUGGGGGUUGGAAAGCUUCGGCGGUUUUGGAUGGACUCGCGGCUUAUCAGCUUGUUGGUGGGGUAGUGGCUUACCAAGGCUUUGACGGGUAGCCGGCCUGAGAGGGCGACCGGCCACAUUGGGACUGAGAUACGGCCCAGACUCCUACGGGAGGCAGCAGUGGGGAAUAUUGCACAAUGGGCGGAAGCCUGAUGCAGCAACGCCGCGUGCGGGAUGACGGCCUUCGGGUUGUAAACCGCUUUCAGCAGGGGCGAAGCUUGUGGUGACGGUACCUGCAGAAGAAGCACCGGCUAACUACGUG